GCAGCGGGUUAGAUGGCAGAUACACAAAUUUUAAAUGCAUAAAAAAAGUUCAGAAAGUGAAGUUGAUAUUGUUUAAAGAAAAAAAAUUCUCGUUUUAACGAAACAGUGGUGGUGAUCUUUCUUUAUUCCAUCAACCAGAGAGACUUUAUCCACAAGGUCUGAUGUUGAAAUGGAAAGUCCUGAAAUCAACUAUAACAUAGGAGAUUAUAUAAUUGAUCCUUUAGCAGGUAAGAUAAGUUACCACUAUCAACACUUUAUAGUAAAAAUUGAUAAGGUAGGCAUUCCCAACUCAAAAUUCAGUGUAAGUUUCUUCAAAAUCAAGAACAAGUGUAAAACAUUUACCUUUUCUAACAUUUCUGACCAUUUACCAAUUAAUGAAAAUGAAAUCAUUUAUAAAAUUUUACAUCAGCCUACAUGUGAAAAGAGC
rnacentral:lncRNA from 1 species